rnacentral:lncRNA from 1 species
GCACAAGGGCGAGCUGGAGCACUAGUGGAGUUGGCGGGAAAGGCACGGCUGCGGGCGCCCCCUGUCCGCACGGAGGAGCCGAAGUCCCGCAGGGUGGGGUCCCCGCCUGCGCCGAGAGGGCCACCUGGUCGAGAGAACAGGCGACACGGAAACCUGAGAAACUCCUCUGUCUGGUGCACCUAACCCUCUUCCUCAUAAAGUGCACACGAACUCUGGUUUUUCCGUUGCAAAUUUUGCUUUCUACAUAGACCAUACCAUUCGUUGCUCUCUGAGGAUGAGCUCCUGGCUUCCCAGUCCAGCAGAAGUAUCUACAUCUAUUUCUGGAAAGGACCUGAACUUGGCUUCUCGUCCUUCUGGAAAGUGAGGCGAAAAUGCCAGGCUGCGCAGCUAUCCUGAGGCCCGGCCUGGAACCUGGCUAGCCACCCAGUCCUGAUACCUCAUCUCCUUUCUGUUGGAUAAAGUCAUUGGAUAAGAUCCCCCAGGGUCUUCUUAAUACUGAACAUCUGUUCAUAAUCACAUAAGUGACCAAGUAUAGUGGAAAACCCGAAUGGUCAACUGAGCUGAGCAGUGGGAGAGAGCGCAGGGUGAGCUCACCUACACCUGAGCAAGAAGCCGGGGCUAAAUACGUGGAAAUCACUGAGAUGGAUUUUGAUACAGGGCAGAAAGAAGAGUAAAAUCAUCUCAUAUUACUUUCCACCUGAAGCUCUGAGCCGAAAGAGUUAUUUGCUCAAACACUCUGAAAUGGGGAGGGACAGAGCUCUGACCCCUCCGUCCAGGCCUGUUUGUUGUUUUUUUUUUUUGUUUGUUUUGUUUUUUUUUUUUUGUGAGACGGAGUUUCAUUCUUGUUGCCCAGGCUGGAGUGCCAUGGCGCGAUCUCGGCUCACCGCAAACUCCGCCUCCUGGGUUCAAGCGAUUCUCCUGCCUCAGCCUCCGGAGUAGCUGGGAUUACAGGCAUGCGCCACCAUGCCCGGCUAAUUUUUUUUUUUUUUUUUUUUUUUUUAGUAGAGACGGGGUUUCUCCAUGUUGAUCAUGCUGGUCUCAAACUCCAGAUCUCAGGCCCGCCUCGGCCUCCCAAAGUGCUGGGAUUACAGGCGUGAGCCACCGCGCUCGCCCCGUCAGGACUCUUUCUUGAGGUUUUGUCUUCUGUUCCUUGGCUUACCUCAUCCUUUAAGUAUUUGAGGAACUGGUGAACAAGUUAACUACUUUGAUAGUAAACGAGGAAAUUUCUUUAUAGAGAAAAGCAAAAUGUGGCCCAGCAGGUAUGUGAAAAAUGGCUGAUGUGACUAGAACUAAGGAAACAAAUGGUUAAGAUAAUAUUAGACAAAAGUAAUGGAAAUUUUUUUUUUUUGGAAAACAGUAUGGAGGGUCCUCAAAAAAUUAAAAAUGGAACUUCCAUGUGAACCAGCCAUCCCACUUCUGGGUAUAUACCCAAAGAAAAUGAAAUUGGUAUCUAGAAGAGAUACCUGCACUCCCAUGUUUAUUGCAG